AAGUCGUAACAAGGUUUCCGUAGGUGAACCUGCGGAAGGAUCAUUAACAAUGGUUUUCAAACCUUUAUUCUGUGCACUGUAUUGUUCUUGGUGUUUUCCGCCUCUUUCUUUGGAGAGGAGCGGAGGCACCGACAUUUUUAAACCAUGUAUUGUAUCGAGUCUUGAAUUUGUAUUAAAAUGAAAAACUUUUGACAACGGAUCUCUUGGCUCUC
rnacentral:misc_RNA from 1 species